CAAUAUAACUCGUUAUUUAUGUUGGUCAACGUCUAUUCAUAAAUCAGGUCCUUCACGUGUGUAUUGUAUUUUUGCCCAGCGAACCAAUAGCAAUGGAUUUGGCAAAAAUACAAUACACACGCGACGGUGAAGGAAUUAGUGGCCAUUUGUUUAAAUGUACAGUAUCCACAGGGGUAGUGUCUGGCUUGGGAAGUUGUACAGAAUUAUCUACAGUAUAUUUUUGCUUCUAAAUUUAAGUUAUUUCGAUUUGUGUUAUACUGCAAUUUCGAUUUGUCAGGUAAUGAAACACGAUCCAGAACUUCCAAUCCUCGCGAAUAUCAACUGGAGGCAAUUUAAAGAUGAUCCAAUAGAACAGAUUAUACAAUGGGACUGGCAACGGAUCGUAGAGGAUAGUAAG